rnacentral:lncRNA from 1 species
CCAUACCCACUCCUCAGCCCUAGCCAACUACUAACCUACUACCUGUCUCUAGAGAUUUGCCUAUUCUGGAUGUUUCAAAUAAAUGUUUAAUACAAUAUGUGGUCUUUUGUGACUGUCUUCUUUCACAUAAUAUGUUUUCAAAGUUCAUCCAUGUUGUAGCAUGUAUCAAUACUUCAUUCCUUUUUAUUGCUGAAUAAUAUUCCAUUGUAUGGAUAUAACACUUUAUCUACUUAUCAGUUGAUGGGUAUUUGGGGUGUUUGCAGGGACUUCAACAUUGCAUAGCUUGUUUGUGAAAGAUUUUGGCUAUUAUGAAUAAUACUGCUAUGAACAUUCAUGUACAGGUUUUUGUAUGGAUAUGUUUUCAGUUAUCUUGGGUAUAUAACUCAGAGUGGGAUUGCUGAGUCAUACGGUAACCCUAAAUUUAACAUUUUGAGAAAUUGCUUAACUAUUUUCAAAGCAGUUGCACCCUUUUGCAACCCCAUCAGCAACGUAUAAGGGUUCCAAUUUCUCUACAUCCUUGCCAAUAUUUGUUAUUUUCUGUUUUUUUUUUUUAAGUAUAGUCAACUUUUGGGUGUGAAAUGGUAUCUUGUAGUUUUGAUUUACAUUUCCCUGAUGAAUGACAUUGAACAUCUUUUUAUAUGACUGUUGUUCAUUUGUAUUUCAUCUUUGGAAAAAUGCCUAUUCAAAUCCUUUGCCAUUUAAAAAUUGAGUUGUUUAUCUUUUUAUUGUUUAGUUGUAACAGUUUUUUAUAUAUUCUGAAUACUAGUCUCUUAUCUGAUACAUAAUUUACAAAAUAUAUUUAUGAGUUGUCUUCAUUUUCUUUCUUUUCUUUUUGUGCCAUACCAAUAACUGGUUUUAAUUUUUUUAAAAAAGGAAAUGCUAUAAUUUUUAAGAAGAGUUCCAAAAAAUUUAACAGCAUUUCCAGCAAUGAUUAUUUCUGAAAUAAAAAGAUAUGAAACAUAAUUUAUACAAAACUAAAAACCAAAAGCAUUCCUUCUUGCUUUUUCCUUUUUAAAAAAAUCCAGACCAUUUGUCACAAGAAAGUUUGGGAAGUUACAGCAGCUGCAGCCUCAGUCACCCUCAGAAUUGCUGUCCUUCCUCCUGGGGACAGAGCACCUCACUGAGGACAGCAACAUGUCUUCAAUCAGUUUCUUAGGGUUUGCCUCCAGGUCUAUCUUAGUUGCUCUAGAUUCAGUUUCCACUCCAACUCAUCUCUCGACAGGUUCAUGCCGCCAAACACCAGAGGACUGAUAAACUGAGCCUUGAUAUCUCCUUCCAGGUAAACAAAUAUCAUGGGCAGAUUCCUAACAGGUUAAUUGGGUAUGCAGGUUGUUGAAAUGGCUUUGAUAAAUUUGACACCAGGAAACUUCCUGGCAAGUCCACCGAGGUGCUGAUUUAUCAGGGCACAGAGGGGAAAUUCCUUGUUUUUAAAGGUGCAAGAUUACCCGCAAACUCUCACCAGCUUUGGUAACUUCUUGAACAUAAUCCUUUCCUGAGAUCUCCAAAACUUCUCCAGAUUUAUUCUUCAGUUUAGUUGCUUUCCACUCAGAUAGUCUCUGCUGUCUGUACAUUUCAAUAGCAUGUUCAUCCUCCUCAUUAAAUUUGUCUUCAUGAUCCUCCAGCUCUUCCAAAGUCAUAUCUUCAUACAUUUUCACCACUGACUGCUGGAGGAUGCGCUGUUCCUCUUCUUCCUUGUUUUCCAAUUCUUUCAGACUUUCCUUGGGGGGCAAGAUGCCCUUUUUGCGUAGGAUGUCAUUCCACUCAGUGUCUGUGUUGGGGCCCUACAUCUUGUUUUCAAUGAGUUGUCUUCAUUUUCUUGAUGUCUAUUGAAGUACAAAAGUUCUAAAUUUUGAUUAAGUCUAAUUUCUCCAUUUUUCUUUUGUUAUUUAUAUUUUUGAUAUAUGAAAGCAACCAGUGCUUAAUCUAAGAGUGACUCUGAUUUUUUCUGAGUUUAAUUUUUUCAGUUCUUACUUUUAGGUCUAUGAUCCAUUUUGAGUUAAUUUUUGUAUAUGUUUUGAUAUGUGUUCAACUUUGUUUUUUUGCACGUGAAUAUCCAAUUAUAGAAGUACUUUGUAUAUUCUGGUUAUAAGGCCCAUAUUGGUUUUAUGUGCAGCAAAUAUCUGCUCUGUGGCUUGCCUUUCACUCUUUUGAUGGUGACUUUUAGAUAAUAUAAACUGAUAAAGUUGAGUGCAUUAAAAUUAAGAGUUUCACUGGGUACAGUAGCCUGUGAUCCCAGCACUUUGGGAGGCUGAGGCAGGAGAAUCACUUGAGUCCACAAGUUCUAGACCAGCCUGGGCAACAUAGCAAGACCCCCAUCUCUACCGAAAAUAAAAGAAAAAAAAUUAAGAGUUUCUGUUGAUCAAAACCCCUUAGGAGUGGGCCUUCCUGAUUGGCCUCCCAUAUAAUAUUCCAGGCUUAUCUCCUAUGUGUACCAUCUGUUUUAGCCACAGUAAAUUAUUUUCCUCUCUCUAAAUACAUUCUGUCCAUUUCCAACUCUGACUCUAACUAGAAACACUUCUGUUUUCACAUUUUAAAGUCGUAUUCAUUGGCCGGGUGUGGUGGUGCACACCUGUAGUCCCAGCUACUCUGGAGGCUGAGGCAGGAGAUUCGCUUGAACCCAGGAGGUACAGGAUGCAGUGAGCGAAGAUCGCACC